rnacentral:lncRNA from 1 species
ACCAGGCCCGUUGGCAUGGCCCCUGAUCGGAAAUAUUUUCGAUCUCGGAAGCAUGCCACACCAGAGCCUAUACAAACUUCGGCCGAGAUACGGACCUGUACUUUGGUUGAAGCUCGGUUUAGUCGAUACUAUGGUCAUACAAUCAGCCAAAGCUGCAGCCGAUAUGUUCAAGAACCAUGACGCCGUCUUCUCUGAUCGUAAGGUUCCNUUGCCAUAUAUUAUAUGGCAACACAGAGAAGGUGUUGCCAUUAUAAACAGAUGUUGUCAUACGAUUUAGAGCAACACACACCAACCAUGUUGCUAAUGACAAAAUAAUGUUGGCAUAAGGUUUACGGCAACAUAAAAAAUCGUGUUGUCAUAAACUGGAAAAAGUGUUGGCAUAACCUCUAUGCCCACAUCGAUUUUCCUAACACCUUCAAAUUUGAACAAAAUGUUGUCAAAAACACAAUGGCAACAUAAAUUGCAGUUUUAGCAACUAAUUUUGGGUGUUAGGAUAGACCAUAUGUGGUGUAGUGAAAUAAAAUAAAUGCACAACCGUUGUUCUUUACUUUUUAAAAACUAUUUUCAUUACUCUCGCAAUCAAACUGUUCUCACUGAAUCACUACCUAUAUCAAUAUCUGUAUUACACCGGUUUAUAUCAAACUUAUAUAUAAUUAUUUUAAUAAUCUACAUCUAUAUGUUUCAUUAUUAUUUUGCUAAUCCAUCAUUAUAGAAAAAUAAUUAGGUAUCAAAGUCAAAAGCAACAAUUAAAAAUAUCACCUUGAACCGUUAUUAAAAAAAUAUAAAUAUAUAAAAAAUAAUAUAAACAGUAAAUCAAAAUAUAAAUGAUAUAAUAAUAAAUAUUGAUAUAACCUUGCAUUAAACUAAUAUAAUGAAUAAUUAAACAUAAAAAAAUUAUAAAAAAAAUAGCCAUACUUGUCACCAUCUUAUCUAGAAGGCAGAUAAAUUUAAAACGGCUAAAUUCAAAGAAAUUUUGUUUUGAUUCAAUCACAAUAGAGUGUUUUACUUUGGGGCAGAACAUUGCGUGCCUGCGAGGCACUCUGUGUGAUUUGCAUCCAUUCAUUUUAAAAAUAUCAAGAACCGUACAACAAAAAUUUAACAUCUUUAAUGUUCUAUAUAUAUAGAACUCAUGCUAAAGUUACAAUUAUAUACUGAAGAAAAAACUGAAAAGGAUUAGAAAUGGAAAGCACCAGUUCUUUUAGCUGGCUGACCGCUUCUCUUUUAGCUGUAAUUGUUACUGUUAUGCUGAAAUGGAUGCAUGCAAGCUAUUUUUCAGCUAAACAGAAACCACCAGGCCCGUUGGCAUGGCCCCUGAUCGGAAAUAUUUUCGAUCUCGGAAGCAUGCCACACCAGAGCCUAUACAAACUUCGGCCGAGAUACGGACCUGUACUUUGGUUGAAGCUCGGUUUAGUCGAUACUAUGGUCAUACAAUCAGCCAAAGCUGCAGCCGAUAUGUUCAAGAACCAUGACGCCGUCUUCUCUGAUCGUAAGGUUCCUGAUGCACUA